GGAUGCUGCUCUCAUCUCAAACGUUUCUAAACACACUGGGUCAUAACUAGUUUUAGCCAUUUCGUCCCCCAUGUACAUAUUUGGCAACGUUUUUGGAGGUUGUGGGCUUUUCCAAGGGUAGUUUUAUGAUGCUGGUGAUAGUUUAAAAUUUAGUCGCCCACGCACACUUAUUUGGCAAGGAUUUCGGAGUUGUGGGCUUUUCCAGGGGUAGUUUUAUGAUGCUGGUGGUAGUUUAAAAUUUAGUCGCCCAAGCACACAUAUUUGGCAAGGCUUUCAGAGUUGUGGGCUUUUCCAUGGGUAGUUUUAUGAUGCUGGUGGUAGUUUAAAAUUUAGUCGCCCAAGCACAUAUAUUUGGCAAGGAUUUCGGAGUUGUGGGCUUUUCCAGGGGUAGUUUUAUGAUGCUGGUGGUAGUUUAAAAUUUAGUCCCCCAAGCAAACAUAUUUGGCAAGGCUUUCGGAGUUGUGGGCUUUUCCAUGGGUAGUUUUAUGAUGCUGGUGGUAGUUUA